rnacentral:rRNA from 1 species
CGGACGGGUGAGUAAUGUCUGGGAAACUGCCUGAUGGAGGGGGAUAACUACUGGAAACGGUAGCUAAUACCGCAUAACGUCGCAAGACCAAAGAGGGGGGCCUUGGGCCUCUUGCCAUCGGAUGUGCCCAGAUGGGAUUAGCUAGUAGGUGGGGUAACGGCUCACCUAGGCGACGAUCCCUAGCUGGUCUGAGAGGAUGACCAGCCACACUGGAACUGAGACACGGUCCAG